UACGUAGGUGGCGAGCGUUGUCCGGAUUUACUGGGCGUAAAGGGAGCGUAGGCGGACUUUUAAGUGAGAUGUGAAAUACUCGGGCUCAACUUGAGUGCUGCAUUUCAAACUGGAAGUCUAGAGUGCAGGAGAGGAGAAUGGAAUUCCUAGUGUAGCGGUGAGAUGCGUAGAGAUUAGGAAGAACACCAGUGGCGAAGGCGAUUCUCUGGACUGUGACUGACGCUGAGGCUCGAAAGCGUGGGGAGCAAACAGG
rnacentral:rRNA from 1 species